rnacentral:rRNA from 1 species
CAGAGGGUGCAAGCGUUGUUCGGAAUUAUUGGGCGUAAAGCGAGUGUAGGCGGUUAUCUAAGUCUGGUGUGAAAGCCCAGGGCUCAACCCUGGAAGUGCACUGGAUACUGGAUAACUAGAGGGCGAUAGAGGAGAUCGGAAUUAAUGGUGUAGGGGUGAAAUCCGUAGAUAUCAUUAGGAACACCGAAAGCGAAGGCUGAUCUCUGGGUCGCAACUGACGCUAAGACUCGAAAGCAUGGGUAGCAAACAGGAUUAGAUACCCUGGUAGUCCAUGCCCUAAACGAUGGAUAUUAGCCGUUGGAAUACCUAAUUGUUUCAGUGGCGAAGCAAACGCGUUAAAUAUCCCGCCUGGGAAGUACGGUCGCAAGAUUA